rnacentral:rRNA from 1 species
GACGAACGCUGGCGGCGUGCUUAACACAUGCAAGUCGAACGGAAAGGCCCCUUUUGGGGUACUCGAGUGGCGAACGGGUGAGUAACACGUGAGUAACCUGCCCUUGACUUCGGGAUAACUUCAGGAAACUGGGGCUAAUACCGGAUAGGAAUCCUUGCUGCAUGGUGGGGGUUGGAAAGCUUCGGCGGGUUUGGAUGGACUCGCGGCUUAUCAGCUUGUUGGUGGGGUGGUGGCUUACCAAGGCGUUGACGGGUAGCCGGCCUGAGAGGGCGACCGGCCACAUUGGGACUGAGAUACGGCCCAGACUCCUACGGGAGGCAGCAGUGGGGAAUAUUGCACAAUGGGCGGAAGCCUGAUGCAGCAACGCCGCGUGCGGGAUGACGGCCUUCGGGUUGUAAACCGCUUUCAGCAGGGGCGAAGCUUGUGGUGACGGUACCUGCAGAAGAAGCACCGGCUAACUACGUG